UUGGGAAGAGUCCAAUCACUGACUUAUGCUUACACCUACAUAAUUCAGAGGAUAGCCACUGGAGAUAGAAAAGAGGUAGGACGGUGCCUAGGCGGCCCACCCUGGUCUCAGAAAGGCCUUCUUCUUGUCUCCAGUUGUGUCUCCAGCUAACACCUCUCCUCUUUCCUCCCUUUACUCCAAUGCCAAGCAUUUUCAUUCUCUUUGUUUACCUCAAAAGACAGCUCAGGUUUGCUGAGCCUCUCACAGUGAGAUCACAUCUUUCCCUCAUCUGCAAAAUGGGCAUAACAGUAUGGAACAACACUACACGCCUAACAGCCCACGGGUGAACGCACUUGUUGAAUAACCUUCCUCUAGUCAAACAAGUUUCCAGCCUCUCCUGGUAGAGGCCCCAACACACCACGCCAAAGCCUUGGGGUUCACCUGUUGGGUUCCACUACCCAGAAGUCAGCAAAAGAGAGAGAACUUGGGGAAAAGGAGUUCCAAGACCCUUAAGGUCAGAGGAGCUGUCAUAGGACCAAUAAAAUCAUGGCAUUUGCAGUGGCUGGAGCAAACUGUGCCAUUCAGGGAGAGAAGGUGGAUGUUUCCCAAAGGAAAAGGUGCUUUGGCAGCUGCUGAGAGAGUCCUCAGUCCCUUCCUUACUGAAAGGGAUAGUGCCUCCAGUUCUAUCGGAGGCAAACUCACCCAUCUCCUAACUCUCCAGUAGUUGGCUCUCAAGUUCACCAGGACCAUAGAUCCUCAGCAUGGAAGUGGGAUUCUUUGGAGAACCAGGCCUGCCCAAGAAAGCUGGAGCAGGGCUGCUCUCAGGUCCUACCUGGGGUACCAAAUUUGUUUCCAAAAACUUGUUCCUUGUCUCUGGUGCCAAUCCAAUAAUGAGGAUGUGGUUUUAAGAAAAAGGAAAAAGAAGUUUUAUUGUUUUGCUAGCAAAUGAGAAACACAGUGGACUCCUGUCCCAGAGGCUAUGAUUCUUAUGCUGAUUUUCUUCUUUAUAUAAGGAACAUUGAUGUUUGAAUUGCUCCUAUGUUUGUGUGCAUAUGUGUACGUGUCAUGAUACAUACUGGCACUCAAUAAAUGUGAAU